UUAUUACUUCUUCCACCAUACCAACCUCACUAACCCUAAUUUAAUUUACUACCAAAUCAGCCAUAACUAACGUUCAAGAUUCGAUUUUUGAAGGCAAAGGUUGAGUAGGCUUUGUACGGAAGAGGACGAUCAUGCAUCUACUGAAGAAGUGCGAGGCAAGCAUGGAUAUUUGCUGCCAUUGUUGAUUUCUUGGACCCCUAGGAAUCCUGGUAGAAGGUAUUGAGCUAGUCCAUACUAUGGGGGUGCUAGAGCAUGUGAUUUUUGGCGUUGGAGGGAUGGAGAAAUUGACCCUAGAUCAAAGUUUGUUAUUCCUAAAUUGAAAGAAGAGAUUGGAAAACUUGAGAGCCAAGUUGAAGUUUUUGAAAAACUAGAUAAUCUGAUGGCAGCAAAGAAGGAUAAACAUGAGAUUGGUAAGAUAGGCAUUCAACUAGAUUACUUGAAAACUGAAAUGGAGAAGAUGAAAGAAAGGAAGAAGAAAUGGAGGAGCAAAGUUGUUCGAUCAAGGAAAAGGGAGAAGGUUCUUUGGUUUAUCAUUUUAUGUUGUUUAAUUAUCGGUGUUAGUACUAGGUUUCAAGUGAAUGAGGAUGAUUUGAAGUUGCCAUAGGCUCUUUGUUUCUCUUUUUGUUGUACUACAAUCUUUAUAUUGAACCUUGUUGGUAUAUGAUACAAAUCAAUG